AACUUUGCACAGUGGCAGUGUCUAGACAACAAGGUUUAUCCAAGGCAAGAUUAUUGCUAACUGAA
rnacentral:snRNA from 1 species